ACUCUCUGGUUUCUCUUCAUAUUGCAUAAAUCUUUCGGCUUUUACUAAAGAUUUCCGUGUAGAGAAACAACCUUGAGUUGUUAAAACUAAUUUUUGGAGGCCUUGCUUCGGCAAGGCU
ensembl:snRNA U5 U5 spliceosomal RNA